rnacentral:sRNA from 1 species
GGUGACAAGUGACAGUUAGGGAGGGGGUGACUAGUGACGGAGGGGGUGACUAGGGACAGAGUGAGGGAGGUGGUUACUAGUGACAGAGGGAGGGAUGGGGUGACUAGUGACCUCCCUCCCUCUGUCACUGUGUCACCCCCUCCCUCUGUCACUAGUCACCCACUCCCUCCCUCACUCUGUCACCAGUCAUCCCCUCACUCUGUCACUAGUCACCCCUUCCUUCCCUCACUCUGCCACUAGUCACCCCUUCCCUCACUCUGUCACCUGUCACCCCCUCACUCUGUCA